rnacentral:rRNA from 1 species
UAGGGAAUCUUCCGCAAUGGGCGAAAGCCUGACGGAGCAACGCCGCGUGAGUGAUGAAGGUCUUCGGAUCGUAAAACUCUGUUAUUAGGGAAGAACAAAUGUGUAAGUAACUAUGCACGUCUUGACGGUACCUAAUCAGAAAGCCACGGCUAACUACGUGCCAGCAGCCGCGGUAAUACGUAGGUGGCAAGCGUUAUCCGGAAUUAUUGGGCGUAAAGCGCGCGUAGGCGGUUUUUUAAGUCUGAUGUGAAAGCCCACGGCUCAACCGUGGGGGGUCAUUGGAAACUGGAAAACUUGGGUGCAGAAGAGGAAAGUGGAAUUCCAUGUGUAGCGGUGAAAUGCGCAGAGAUAUGGAGGAACACCAGUGGCGAAGGCGACUUUCUGGUCUGUAACUGACGCUGAUGUGCGAAAGCGUGGGGAUCAAACAGG